CUAAAAGAGAAGAAGGAGAAAUUUUUCCACUCUUACAGUUGGCAAUCAUGAAGGGACUUCCACCGGCUGGACCUUGCUCACUCUGGGGCUGCUGCAACUGAGAAAUCCUAGGAUCCCUGAAAAAAGCCAGCAGAAGCCAUGUAAGCUAAAGCUGAACAACCUGUUAUAAACUUCAGAGAAACCGCCACAACACCUCAUGCAUGGACAGUCUUCAUGCCUGUUGCUGUGCAGCUACUCAGAGAGAUCACUACAGGCAUUCAAACUACAAACCAGGAGAGUCACCGCCAGCCCGUAUCCAUCUGAAGAUGCUUCAAGCCAGACAUCUAAAAUGUCUUCUAUUAAAUACCUGAUUGUUUGAACCACAGGUCCAACUUUGGGAGCCCCCCACAUCUCUGCUUCCUGAAAUGAGACACAACUAAGUGAAGUGACCUACCCUCAGGACGAACAGACUAGUUCGAUGAGAUGGAACAAUCUACCAAUCCAACUUCUAGACUAUGAAAUUUCUUGGGGAAGUUUCAAAGGCAGGACUGAAGGGGAGCAGAAUAUGCCACCCCAAAAUGUGCCACUUUGGCAUGUGGAUGAUUUUGAGCUGAAGUCAGUCAAGACCCAAGACAAACUUCUACCCCCCCCUCAACUACCUAAAAGAAUUUUGAUAGGGGGCCUGGUCCAGAAAGGGAGCUAUUACCGGAAGACUUACCUGUGUGGCAGGACGACAGUUAAUUACAAAACAGGCUUUUCUUAUCGUCCUGUGAAUUACCCUCCUCCCCUUUGAAGCCCCGGGCCACUAUCCCAUUCCUCAGCUGGGGAUGGCAUGUAAGCCUCAACUCCCUGACAGGCCCUUGAGUCUCAGAUCUUUGGGGCUCUGGCAUAUAGGAAAUUUAACUUCUUUUUGUUCUGUUAAUCUGUCUUAUGUCAACUUGAUUAUCAGACCAGCCGAAGAACAUAAAAGGGGAGAAAGGAAAAUUUGUCUGCCCCAUACCUUUAACAUGACUGUUCUUCACGUGGCAAUGCGCAGUGGUCUAAAAGACUCGCCUACAUCA